AUGACUAGGGAUUGUGGAGGAAAAGAGUUCCAUGCGAUGCCAUGCCAUGGUUUAGCAGUUGGGCUGUGGACGGCGAUCACAGCUCACAAGACUCUUUGCAGGCUGAAGACUUGUCUUCUGAAGUCAGCUAUUCCUCUUGGAGCGCGUAGUCUGUUGUGCAACGCGGGAAACUGUCGGGUCAAUAGAAACACCAUCGCCAUUUCGGUCUCCCCUGGGGAUGGGUCCAAAGGAGCGGGAGCCUUCCUCUUGCGCACCCGAGGUUUCGACUUUGAAGAACCAGCUGAUGCAGAAGGUGGUUCCUCUGCAGAUGCAGGCGGGGCAGUAUGUAAAGAACAGGCUGCGGCAUUACCAAGAGCACGAUCAGCUGCUCCGCCUUCAAUCUGA
rnacentral:rRNA from 1 species